rnacentral:misc_RNA from 1 species
GAUGAAGAACGCAGCGAAAUGCGAUAAGUAAUGUGAAUUGCAGAAUUCAGUGAAUCAUCGAAUCUUUGAACGCACAUUGCGCCCCCUGGUAUUCCGGGGGGCAUGCCUGUUCGAGCGUCAUUUCACCACUCAAGCCUCGCUUGGUAUUGGGCAACGCGGUCCGCCGCGUGCCUCAAAUCGACCGGCUGGGUCUUCUGUCCCCUAAGCGUUGUGGAAACUAGUCGCUAAAGGGUGUUCGGGAGGCUACGCCGUAAAACAACCCCAUUUCUAAGGUUGACCUCGGAUCAGGUAGGGAUACCCGCUGAACUUAAGCAUAUCAAUAAGCGGAGGA